GAACGUAUUCACCGCGACGUUGCUGAUCCACGAUUACUAGCGAUUCCAGCUUCAUGGAGUCGAGUUGCAGACAUCCAAUCCGAACUGGGGCUGGUUUUGGGGGAUUAGCUCCACCUCGCGGUUUGGCAACCCAUUGUACCAGCCAUUGUAGCACGUGUGCAGCCCAGGACAUAAGGGGCAUGCGGACUUGACGUCAUCCUCGCCUUCCUCCUGAUUGCUCAGGCAGUUCCGAAAGAGUGCCCGGCCGAACCGAUGGCAACAUCCGGUGAGGGUUGCGCUCGUUGCGGGACUUAACCCAACAUCUCACGACACGAGCUGACGAC
rnacentral:rRNA from 1 species